rnacentral:ribozyme from 2 species
CUUCUAACUCCGCCUGUAGCUCCUCAGGGGGCUACUGCCGAUCCUAAGCCCGGAUAAAGGAGGAGGGUUAG